rnacentral:rRNA from 1 species
GAUCCUGGCUCAGGAUGAACGUUGGCGGCGUGCCUAAUACAUGCAAGUCGAACGCUUCACUUCGGUGAAGAGUGGCGAACGGGUGAGUAAUACAUAAGUAACCUGGCAUCUACAGGGGGAUAACUGAUGGAAACGUCAGCUAAGACCGCAUAGGUGUAGAGAUCGCAUGAACUCUAUAUGAAAAGUGCUACGGGACUGGUAGAUGAUGGACUUAUGGCGCAUUAGCUUGG